rnacentral:tRNA from 1 species
GCUGUAGCUCAGUGGUAGAACAUCUGCUUUGCUUGCAGAAGGUCCCAGGUUCAAUCCCUGUCAUCUCCA